CACGGUGCCCUGCAGGACAGACCUGCGGCAGGGCAGCAGAACAUGUUAUAGAUAAGCAAAAAUAAACAACCUUGAAACCAGCACAGACGAACUAUGGCUUCUUCUUUGGCAACGGGGCAGAAAGACAGAGACUUUCUACAAUCUCGGAAUCACCAAUACCCACAGAUUCCAACAACAUGCAGGGGGGCUGGCCUCCGGCUGUGCUGCAACAGGGGUCCAGCCGCGGAUGGUGCGGCUGGAGGCGCAGCAGCGGCAGUGCGGCUGCGGCUGGCAGCACUGCUAUCAUUGCCACGGGUUGCAAUGGCGAAGCUGCAAAAGACAUUUAGUCAACCAAGUCAGCUGCUGCACAGGGAGGAGGAGAAGGCAGUUGUUCUGCAACUAAAGGUGAGCAGGCAAAAGGGAACAUAGCUCCUAUUGUGUGAUUUACCGUUUGGAGAGACACUGCUGAUGCGGUGGUCACAGCUGCUGUCUGUGCAGGCACCUGGAAAAGGAGGGGCAAGCUGGCAGGGGCUGCAACAUUGGCUGGAAGAAACACCCACCGGUAGGUACUAAUGAUGGGGGUGGCCAGCACAUCUGUGCAGGCUCUGUGGCUGAUGACAAGGGAGAUGACAGAGUGACCAGGCUGUUUGUGGCAACCGCCAACAGCAGAGAUGGCUCCACCCUCACCCGCAAUGGGGGGGGAACUUGAGUUAGGAACAGCAGCUCCUGCCAACCGUGAAAGAGUCGGUCCCCGACAUGUGGCAGGGGGAAGGCAAAGCUGGCCGGCAGGGCCAAGUCGCCUGUGGGGCAGCACAAGGCCAUCCCCCUGCUCCCUCCCAGACGGGGCAGGAACCACUGGCAGCUGGGGCAGGGCCAGUUGUUGCAGUAGCUUGCCAGCCUCUCUUCAUAGGGCAGAGAAGAACCAACCCACUGGCUGCAGCGGCGGUAGUUCUGGCACCAUCUGUGGUGAUGGAGGGGCCGAAAGUGGCGCAAGCAGAGAGAGGCUGUCCCCCAGGCGUGGCAGAGACACAGCUAUCGCUCUCAGCAGUGUUGCUUUUACUGGAGGAGGAGACAUCAUCUUCACAGAGUUGUAGGGAUAAGGAUAUUUUGGCAGAACAUAAUCUCUAGUGGAGAGAUAGGUUCCAUGGGAGGUCCCCAUGUUCCUUGCCAGUCCACGUGGAGCCGUAAAAAGCCAACAGCCACCCGGUCUGGAAAUCCUCCCCCCAGGGUGGAGGAUCCCCAUUUUUGACUCGCUGCCCCCCUGGGUGUGGCCUUAGAACACACAAGAUAGGAGUCCUAUGGGGAUCCAGUUUAAAAAUUUCUUCCAGAGCCCAUGGCCCAAUGCCUCCCACAAUUGCAGACUAACAGCGGUGUCUAUGUCUACCAGAAAGUCAUGAGAUUUGGCCCAGGCAAGCAGAGUGCAGAGCGAAUCAUCUGACACAGAGACUUCAAUAAAGGAAAUCAUGUCCUUCCACACAGAAACAAUUGCGUGUUCUUCUCUAGAGAGGUGACUCUCCAUCACAGAAGUACUGGCCCCCAACCUCCAGCAAGAAGUAUAACUGUCCACUUUGCUGGGGAAUUCAUUCCCACCCGCAUUUCCAAGCUAUCAGGGCAAAACCACGAUCCCAGUCCUUUCCAGGAGGAUGCACGGAAAGGUCAUUACCUCCCUGGUGGAACAGAGGGUGUUGGGAAGGAUAGAUAAAUACGAUUGCCUAGCAGAAGAAUCACAAUAGUACAGCCAGGAUGAAUAUCAUGCCCCCCGCUGGCUGGACAAUACCCUCACCUACAGAGGGGUCCAAAAGUCAAAUGGACAGUUCGAUCUUACCCCAAUGUAUGGUUCAUCCCACACCUGUAACCCUCCCCUGAAACAUCAGGUGUCUGUGACCCCAUUGGCCCAGGUCCUGUUCCAGCCCACCUUGAAGCCCCCUGAUAAGGGGUCUCCAAGGGGCCAGACGCCCUCUUGGAACUUCCUCCCUCCUCUUGGAUCCCCCCUCUUGGAACUCCCUGCUCUUCCCUUUGUCUCUCCCCUCCCCCAUCACCUCAGGCCCUGCCAUGUGCUGCAGCUCGAGGCAGGACCUCUCACCAUCCCGAAUAAACCUUAUCUUCCAAGAGCAACCAACAGAGAUCUCUCGUCUGAAUCCAUCCACACCGUCCAGGAGAAUCCUACGUCUUUACAAGAGGGUGUCCAGACACAGGUGGGCUAUGUGGGCGCUGUGGGGUCCCAGCGGAGGUCUGGUGGGGGUCCGGGGUGUCUCUGUCCAUCCUGCCAUCCACAAAGGGCCAAUCGCUGUGACUAACAUUGGGGUCACUAGAUGUUGUUGCUAUUGAGUAAGAAUCACCUCAACUAAAUCAUGGCAUCAAGUGUCAUAUCCAGUCUUUUUUCAAACACAUCCAGGGAUGAUGACUCCACCACUUCCCCAGGCAGACUGUUCCAGAACUUUAUGACUCUUUUGGUGAAAAACUUUUUCCUAAUAUCCAGUCUAUAUUUUUCUUGAUGCAGCUUGAUUGUCCUCUGAUUCCAUCAGCUGGUGCCCCUGGUGAAAGAGAUGAACCCCCACCUGAUUGCAACCACCCUUCAGGAAGUUGUAGAGAGUGAUAAGGUCACUCCUAAGUCUCCUUUUCUCCAGGCUAAACAACCCCAGCUCCCUCAGCCCUUCCUCAUCAGUCUUGUUGCACUUCUCUGGAUGCACUAAAGAAUUUAAACAUCCUUCCUAAACUGAGGAGCCCAACACUGGACACAGCACUCAAGGUGCAGCCUCACCAGUGCCAAGUGCAGGGGAAGAGUGACCUCCCUGGUUCUGCUGGCCACACUAUUGCUGAUACAGGCCAGGAUGCCACUGGCCUUCUUGGCCACCAGGGCACACUGCUGGCUUUCCCUCCACCUUGGCCACUUCGUUCUCUACUAAGUACCGGUCAUUAUGGUCUCUUAGUGACAGAUCCGAGAGAGAAAAACAAGAACCCUAACCUUCAACAGGCUCUCUCUUCAUAAACUUGGAGCAGCUGGGGGGGGUAAGGUGUUGCACUUUUCCUUCUUUCCUGGUCUUCAGUGAGGUCAAGAGGAACUCUGACUUUUCCAGUUCUGUUCCUGAUGUCCUUGCAAUGCCUGUGUAUGUCUCUUGGGUAGUUUUGAUGCUGCUUCCACCCCCCACAUUCUUAAUUUUUUGUAUUUAAACCCAAUCCAGAAUUUUCCACUCAGUCUGUCUGGCCUCCUGUUGUACUUGCUGAACAUUGGGAUGGAUCACUCUUGUUCUCCAUUGGUUAAUCAGAAAUUCAGGUAGCUGUUUUACAUCUACCUCAGCUCACUUCUACUCCAGGCUGAAAAAAGCUCAUUCCUUCCAUUGCUCCUCAUGCUCCAGGCCUCAGACAUUUUCAUGGCUUUCCUCUGAACUUAUUCCAGUUUAUCCAAGUUUUUCUUGCUUUGCAAGGCCUGAACACAGCACAGCUGGUGUGAUCUAAUGAGUGCCAGGUAAAGGGAACAGUCCCUUACUGGCCCCUGACAGGUGUAUCUGUCCAUGCAGCCCAGGACAUCACUGCAGCAGCCAGGAGACACUGCAGAUGUUCAUCCUAUUUAUGGUCCACCGAGCCCUCCAUGUCCAUCUCAGCAGAGCCAGUCCAUCCCAGCUUUGGAUUCAGCUCAAAUCCCAAGGCUUCCUCUACCUUUUUUCUGCCUUGCCCUCGAGCUCACAUGAUGGGUAACACCUUACUUGUAAUGCCUGUAGGAAAGUAAUAGGGCAAAGAGUGAAGAGAUGCAGAAUCCAAAGAAAGAUCCAGCAGAGAUGCAAACCAUUUGCAAAUACUGGGAAUGUGAAGAAGGCAUUUAUCAAUGUUGGAAUGGGGCAAAAGCUUCUGGAAACUGAAACCCUGGAUUUUCUAUUAGGGAUUAGUGCAGGCAAUGGUAGUAGGCAAGAAAUCUUGUCUUGGGAAAAAGGCAGGAUUUGAGGGGUAUCCAGUGCACCAUAAAAAGAUCAAAUUAUGAGAAACCACUGGGAGUCUGGGAACCGUAGAUACAUAUGUUUCUGCAUGAACGGAAAAGAUGUCCUGAGAGGAUGGUAGCAAUAGGGUGUGAGAGGGAAGAGCCCCAGGCAGAUGCUGCUGGUGGGUUGGUGCACACAGACCAGGCAGAGGGAAGCAGCAGAUGCCGCUGCCUCCUGUUCCAGGCUAAUGCUUCUUUUAGGUCCACCUGUGUUUGAUGAGGUCACAGAGCCAGAGCAGGUGAGGGCCCUUCUCUGGCACAUCCAGAGGUGAGUGAGUAGCCAUCGCAAGGCAGCUCUGUGCACAUUGGCAGUCGCAGGAAAGGCGACAGGAGAGGUGAUACCUCCGCCAGCCCGGGGCUGCGACAUUUCCUCCCGUGAGGAACCCUGAGCUCAUGGAUGGGGAGACUUUUAGCUGCCCCGUGUGAUACUUAGUUCUCAGUAGCAAAGAUGUUAUCAAACUCGUGUUGAUUUUAGAGGUUAGACUGACAACAAAAUUGGUAUUCAUAAGUUUUCUUUGUUGACUUUCAGAAACAUUAGGAAAUAUUUCAGAAAGGCAGUUCCUUCUGUCUGUGUAGGACAGUCACCCUCACCCUGCAGAUGCCUGUUCAUACCUGUCCCAUCAUCUAAGCCAAGAACAUUGCUCACUGCUGGAAUCUGUGCCAUGUGGGGGUGACAGAGUCCAGCAGCUCCAAAUGCGUGAGCUGGCACCGCUGCCCUGGGAUGAAAGGAACCAGUCGUGCAAAGACAAGGUCUACAGCAGGAUGUAAAGUUCCAUGAUUUGUUUCAAAAACCAAAAUUUUCAAUUUCAAGUCAAUAUUUUCCAUUUCAACAAAUUAAAUGAGUUGUCUUUGAAAGCUGAAAACAGUUGAGUUGCACACGUUCACCUAAGCUCUCUUUCAGAGGUAGGAAAAUCCAGUAUCUUUUAUUCCAACAAAAUCAUUUAAUCUAUUCCUUUAGGUUUGUCUGUCAAUGGUUAUCAAAUCCUGGUCAAGUGAUACCGAAGUUAUAAUUUAUGGGGAAAAAUUCUGUAAGUGCGGGGCUGUGCGUCUCCAUAUGGCGGGCGCCCCAAGCCCCCCGCCCGCAUCUGAGGGGAACUACCAGUUGUCUCGGACCACCCGCUGCGGGGUGACCCUCCUCUCGUCCCCGCUGUCCCAUAAUACCCACAAUGACCAUCCCGGGGUGACCCUUCUCUCAUCCCCGCUGUCCCCUCACAGUCCCUGUGAAAGACAAUAGCAUAGUUUUUGUUCAUCAGGAAAAGUCCCAGGGAUUGUGUAAGUCACAGGAAACAGUGGGGCAGGAGGGCAGGAUGUACUGCUAUUAGUAGAUAGUGGAAUUGAGAGAUCUUUAAAAGCUGCGUUACCAUAUUUGGAGAAGUUAUUGCAGGGUUAACGCUACCUCGGAGGAAAAAGAAUAGGAGCUUUCCUCAAACGACCACUGGACAGCAGAAAAAAGACCCCUAGCAACACGCCGCGCAGAUGCAGAGCACGUCGAGACUGUCACAAAGUCUGGAACUGAAGGGGUAUAAGAACUGAAAGACCGGGAGGUGCGGUGCGAGCCGUUGUGGGGAGCAGAGGCUCCCCGGCCGCCCAGCGCUGCAUUUGCCCGUACUGCUUGCUUGCUAAAUUAAUAAAAUUCGCUUUAUAAAG
ensembl:lncRNA